GAUGAAGAACGUAGCGAAAUGCGAUAAGUAGUGUGAAUUGCAGAAUUCAGUGAAUCAUCGAAUCUUUGAACGCACAUUGCGCCCCUUGGUAUUCCAUGGGGCAUGCCUGUUCGAGCGUCAUUUGUACCUUCAAGCUUUGCUUGGUGUUGGGUGUUUGUCUCGCCUUUGCGUGUAGACUCGCCUUAAAAUAAUUGGCAGCCGGCGUAUUGAUUUCUGAGCGCAGUACAUCUCGCGCUUUGCACUCAUAACGACAGCGUCCAAAAGUACAUUUUACACUCUUGACCUCGGAUCAGGUAGGGAUACCCGCUGAACUUAAGCAUAUCAAUAAGCGGAGGA
rnacentral:misc_RNA from 1 species